rnacentral:rRNA from 1 species
GACGUAGGGCGCGAGCGUUGUCCGGAUUUAUUGGGCGUAAAGAGCUCGUAGGCGGCUCAGUAAGUCGGGUGUGAAACCUCCAGGCUCAACCUGGAGACGCCACUCGAUACUGCUGUGGCUUGAGUCCGGUAGGGGAGCACGGAAUUCCUGGUGUAGCGGUGAAAUGCGCAGAUAUCAGGAGGAACACCAGUGGCGAAGGCGGUGCUCUGGGCCGGAACUGACGCUGAGGAGCGAAAGCGUGGGGAGCAAACAGG